rnacentral:rRNA from 1 species
UACGUAGGGUGCAAGCGUUGUCCGGAAUUAUUGGCGUAAAGAGCUCGUAGGCGGUCUGUCGCGUCUGCUGUGAAAACUCAGGGCUUAACCCUGAGCUUGCAGUGGGUACGGGCAGACUAGAGUGCGGUAGGGGAGACUGGAAUUCCGUGGUGUAGCGGUGAAAUGCGCAGAUAGUCAGGAGGAACACCGGUGGCGAAGGCGGGUCUCUGGGCCGUAACUGACGCUGGAGGAGCGAAAGCAUUGGGGAGCGAACAGGAUUAG